GAACGCUGGCGGCGUGCCUAUUACAUGCAAGUCGAGCGAGAAAUUCACCUUCGGGUGGAGAGUACAGAGGCGAACGGGUGAGUAACACGUGAGUAACCUUCCAUUUGGUUUGGGAUAACACGCCUAACGGCGUGCUAAUACCGGAUAUGAUCAUAGGGGGAUAUCCCCCAGUGAUGAAAGGCUUCGGCCGCCAAUUGAUGAGUUCGCGUCCCAUUAGUUUGUUGGCGGGGUAAUGGCCCACCAAGGUGACGAUGGGUAGCCGACCUGAGAGGGUGAUUGGCCACAUUGGGACUGAGAUACGGCCCGGACUCCUACGGGAGGCAGCAGUAGGGAAUUUUGCGCAAUGGGCGAAAGCCUGACGCAGCAACGCCGCGUGGAGGAUGACGUUUUUCGGAACGUAAACUCCUGUUAAGAGGGAAGAAAUGCCGAUUGGUCGGCCUGAUGGUACCUCUUGAGGAAGCCCCGGCUAACUCCGUGCUAGUAGUUGUGGUAGUACGGGGGGGGCUAGUGUUGUUCGGAUUUACUGGGUGUAAAGGGAGUGUAGGCGGAUUUGCAAGUCAGAGGUGAAAUGCCCAUGUUUAACAUGGUGUUUUGCCUUUGAAACUGCGGAUCUUGAGUGUUGGAGAGGGUAACGGAAUUCCAGGUGUAGUGGUGGAAUGUGUAGAUAUCUGGAAGAACAUUAGUUGUGAAGGCGGUUACCUGGCCAAACACUGACGCUGAGGCUCGAAAGCUGGGGGAGCAAACAGGAUUAGAUACCCUGGUAGUCCCAGCCCUAAACGAUGGAUACUAGGUGCAGGGGGAGUUAAUUCCUUCUGUGCCGAAGCUAAUGCAUUAAGUAUCCAUCUGGGGGAGUACGGUCGCAAGGCUGAAAUUUAAAGGAAUUGACGGGGGCCCGCACAAGCGGUGGAGCAUGUGGUUCAAUUCGACGCAAUGCGAAGAACCUUACCUGGGCUUGACAUGAGGUGGACCAUCACCAGAGAUGGUGACUUCUGUAGCAAUACAGACCGCCUACAGGUGCUGCAUGGCUGUCGUCAGCUCGUGUCGUGAGAUAUUGGGUUAAGUUUUGUAACGAGCGCAACCCCUGUUCUUAGUUGCCAUUAGGUUAAGUUGGGUAUUUUAAGGAGACUGCCUCGAAUAACGGGGAGGAAGGUGGGGAUGACGUCAAGUCCUCAUGGCCCUUACGUCCAGGGCUACACACGUGCUACAAUGGCAUAUACAGUGGGUUGCCAGCCAGCGAUGGUGAGUUAAUUUUUUAAAGUAUGUCUCAGUUCGGAUUGGAGUCUGCAAUUUGACUCCAUGAAGUUGGAAUCGCUAGUAAUCGCGGAUUAGUAUGCCGCGGUGAAUCCGUUCCCGGGCCUUGUACAUAUUGCCCGUCGAGCCAUGGAAGCUGGAAGUACCCAAUGUCGUUUGCCCAACCGUAAGGAGGGCGGCGCCUAAGGUAAAGCUGGUAACUGGGGCUAAGUCGUAACAAGGUA
rnacentral:rRNA from 1 species